rnacentral:rRNA from 1 species
CUACGGGANGCAGCAGUAAGGAAUAUNGUCAAUGGACGCAANUUUGAACCANCCAUNCCGCGUGCAGGAAGACGGCCCUAUGGGUUGUAAACUGCUUUGCAGGGGAAUAAACCUUCGUAUGUAUACGAAGCUGAAUGUACUCUGAGAAUAAGGAUCGGCUAACUCCGUGCCAGCAGCCGCGGUAAUACGGAGGAUCCAAGCGUUAUCCGGAUUUAUUGGGUUUAAAGGGUGCGUAGGUGGUUUAUUAAGUCAGGGGUGAAAGACGGCAGCUUAACUGUCGCAGUGCCUUUGAUACUGAUGAACUUGAAUGAACUAGAGGUAGGCGGAAUGUGACAGGUAGCGGUGAAAUGCAUAGAUAUGUCACAGAACACCAAUUGCGAAGGCAGCUUACUAUGGUUUGAUUGACACUGAGGCACGAAAGCGUGGGGAUCAAACAGGAUUAGAUACCCUGGUAGUCCACGCCCUAAGCGAUGAAUACUCGAUGUUGGCGAUAUACGGUCAGCGUCUAAGCGAAAGCGUUAAGUAUUCCACCUGGGGAGUACGCCCGCAAGGGUGAAACUCAAAGGAAUUGACGGGGGCCCGCACAAGCGGAGGAGCAUGUGGUUUAAUUCGAUGAUACGCGAGGAACCUUACCCGGGCUUGAAAGUUAGUGAAUAGAGCAGAGACGCUCUAGUCCUUCGGGACACGAAACUAGGUGCUGCAUGGCUGUCGUCAGCUCGUGCCGUGAGGUGUUGGGUUAAGUCCCGCAACGAGCGCAACCCCUAUGUUUAGUUGCCAGCAUGUAAUGGUGGGGACUCUAAACAGACUGCCUAUGCAAAUAGAGAGGAAGGAGGGGACGACGUCAAGUCAUCAUGGCCCUUACGUCCGGGGCUACACACGUGCUACAAUGGGCAGUACAGAGGGCAGCUACCUGGCAACAGGAUGCCAAUCUCCAAAAGCUGUUCACAGUUCGGAUCGGGGUCUGCAACUCGACCCCGUGAAGUUGGAUUCGCUAGUAAUCGCGUAUCAGCAAUGACGCGGUGAAUACGUUCCCGGGCCUUGCACACACCGCCCGU